rnacentral:sRNA from 1 species
CGCUGUCAACGACAGCCAGCCAAUGUUUCCAGUAUCAGGAUGAUACGAGUGACCUGUGAGAAACGCCUUCGGGUGGUCACGAGCCAAAGUCAUAUUGUAGUGGUCAACUAAAA